GAUGAACGCUAGCUACAGGCUUAACACAUGCAAGUCGAGGGGCAGCAUUUUAGUUUGCUUGCAAACUAAAGAUGGCGACCGGCGCACGGGUGAGUAACACGUAUCCAACCUGCCGAUAACUCGGGGAUAGCCUUUCGAAAGAAAGAUUAAUAUCCGAUGGUAUAUUAAAACCGCAUGGUUUUACUAUUAAAGAAUUUCGGUUAUCGAUGGGGAUGCGUUCCAUUAGUUUGUUGGCGGGGUAACGGCCCACCAAGACAACGAUGGAUAGGGGUUCUGAGAGGAAGGUCCCCCACAUUGGAACUGAGACACGGUCCAAACUCCUACGGGAGGCAGCAGUGAGGAAUAUUGGUCAAUGGACGAGAGUCUGAACCAGCCAAGUAGCGUGAAGGAUGACUGCCCUAUGGGUUGUAAACUUCUUUUAUAUGGGAAUAAAGUAUUCCACGUGUGGGAUUUUGUAUGUACCAUAUGAAUAAGGAUCGGCUAACUCCGUGCCAGCAGCCGCGGUAAUACGGAGGAUCCGAGCGUUAUCCGGAUUUAUUGGGUUUAAAGGGAGCGUAGGUGGAUUGUUAAGUCAGUUGUGAAAGUUUGCGGCUCAACCGUAAAAUUGCAGUUGAAACUGGCAGUCUUGAGUACAGUAGAGGUGGGCGGAAUUCGUGGUGUAGCGGUGAAAUGCUUAGAUAUCACGAAGAACUCCGAUUGCGAAGGCAGCUCACUAGACUGCAACUGACACUGAUGCUCGAAAGUGUGGGUAUCAAACAGG
rnacentral:rRNA from 1 species